rnacentral:rRNA from 1 species
UGAAUACGAAAUGCUACGGCAUUGAAGUGAUCUAUGCCAGGCUUCCAAGAAAAUCUCGUCAUAUCUUAAGCAGUAGAUGCCUGUACCUUAAACCGACACAGGUAGGUAGGUAGAGUAUACCAAGGGGCGCGAGAUAACUCUCUCUAAGGAACUCGGCAAAAUAACCUCGUAACUUCGGAAGAAGAGGUACCCUUGAAAAAGGGUUGCAAUAACCAGACCCUGGCGACUGUUUACCAAAAACACAGGUCUCCGCUAAUUCGUAAGAUCAAGUAUGGAGGCUGACGCCUGCCCAGUGCCGGAAGGUUAAAGAAGUUGGUCAAUCUUUGGAUGAAGCUGGCGACUGAAGCCCCGGUGAACGGCGGCCGUAACAAUAACGGUCCUAAGGUAGCGAAGUUCCUUGUCGGGUAAGUUCCGACCCGCACGAAAGGCGUAACGAUCAGGGUGCUGUCUCGGAGAGAGACUCGGCGAAAUAGACAUGUCUGUGAAGAUGCGGACUACCUGCACCUGGACAGAAAGACCCUAUGAAGCUUUACUGUAUCUUGGAAUUGGGUUUGGGCCUUGCUUGCGCAGGAUAGGUGGGAGGCUGUGAAGAUAUUCUUGCGGGAAUGUUGGAGCCAACGGUGAGAUACCACUCUAGUAAGGCUAAAAUUCUAACUCUGAACCGUUAUCCGGUCAGAGAACAGUUUCAGGUGGGCAGUUUGACUGGGGCGGUCGCCUCCUAAAAGGUAACGGAGGCGCGCAAAGGUUCCCUCAGGCUGGUUGGACAUCAGUCGUAGAGUGUAAAGGCAUAAGGGAGCUUGACUGCGAGACCCACAAGUCGAGCAGAGACGAAAGUCGGCCUUAGUGAUCCGACGGUUCCACGUGGAAGGGCCGUCGCUCAACGGAUAAAAGUUACUCUAAGGAUAACAGGCUGAUCUCCCCCAAGAGUUCACAUCGACGGGGAGGUUUGGCACCUCGAUGUCGGCUCAUCGCAUCCUGGGGCGGUAGUACGUCCCAAGGGUUGGGCUGUUCGCCCAUGAAAGCGGUACGCGAGCUGGGUUCAGAACGCCGUGAGACGGUUCGGUCCAUAUCCGGUGCAGGCGUUAGAGCAUUGAGAGGAGUCCCCCUUAGUACGAGAGGACCGGGGGGAAUACACCGCUGGUGUACCAGUUAUCGUGCCAACGGUAAACGCUGGGUAGCCAUGUGUAGCGCGGAUAACUGCUGAAAGCAUCUAAGUAGGAAGCCCACCUUAAGAUGAGUGCUCUCACCGCUAUAAGCGGGUAAGGUCACGGUAAGAACAACCGUUAUAUAGGCAUUAAGUAUACGUGCAGUAAUGCAUUUAGCUGAGAUGUACUAACAGACCGAGGGC